rnacentral:rRNA from 1 species
AACGAACGCUGGCGGCAGGCUUAACACAUGCAAGUCGAGCGCCCCGCAAGGGGAGCGGCAGACGGGUGAGUAACGCGUGGGAAUCUACCCAUCUCUACGGAAUAACGCAUGGAAACGUGUGCUAAUACCGUAUACGUCCUUCGGGAGAAAGAUUUAUCGGAGAUGGAUGAGCCCGCGUUGGAUUAGCUAGUUGGUGGGGUAAAGGCCUACCAAGGCGACGAUCCAUAGCUGGUCUGAGAGGAUGAUCAGCCACACUGGGACUGAGACACGGCCCAGACUCCUACGGGAGGCAGCAGUGGGGAAUAUUGGACAAGGGGCGCAAGCUUGCUCCAGCCAGGCCGCGUGAGUGAUGAAGGCCCUAGGGUUGUAAAGCUCUUUCACCGGUGAAGAUAAUGACAGUAACCGGAGAAGAAGCCCCGGCUAACUUCGUGCCAGCCGCCGCCGUAAAAC